GGAUGUGAGGGCAAUCUGGCUGUGACAUCUGUCACCCCAUUGAUCACCAGGGUUGAUUCAUCUGAUCUGUCUGGCUAGACAGGUGUUCUCUUUUUCAAAAUCUCACUGCUCCAUGUGUGUUCCUCCUGCCCCUCUGAAAUCUGUGAGGUCAACCUAAGAGGGUGAACUUCUCUGAACAAAGACUACCCUCUUCAACCAAGGGUAUAAAAGUAGCUGCUCUCCUCAGCUAGAACUUCUAAACAAGUUCUCAUAUUUAUACCACAUGACAUUUAUAAAUGCCUCCAUGCCAUAGACCUUCCAGAUUAUCCCCCAUUUAUAAUCAAAACAGCUGUUUAAUCUG
ensembl:misc_RNA 7SK 7SK RNA